rnacentral:rRNA from 1 species
CUUGAAGGGUACUCGAGUGGCGAACGGGUGAGUAACACGUGGGUGAUCUGCCCUGCACUUCGGGAUAAGCUUGGGAAACUGGGUCUAAUACCGGAUAGGAACCAUCUUUAGUGUGGUGGUUGGAAAGUUUUUUCGGUGUAGGAUGAGCUCGCGGCCUAUCAGCUUGUUGGUGGGGUAAUGGCCUACCAAGGCGGCGACGGGUAGCCGGCCUGAGAGGGUGUACGGCCACAUUGGGACUGAGAUACGGCCCAG